UGGGGAAACAGGCAGGCACAACAGCUACAUGUGAUGUGAAGAACUAUGAGGCCAUCUGAUAGGGAUCAGAGGAAGGGAAAUGACUGGAGGACGUGGCAGGAUGCAGAGGUCUGAAAGGAGAUGGGAGAGCCCUGUCAGCAGAGGGUAUUCAAAGUGUCCUGAGCAAGAUGGGGCUUAGAUAUAGUAGGUCUGAGGAGGCUUUGAGAUUCAAGGUUUCAGGGUCCUGAAAUCCCUCAGGCUUUUGUGAGUGGAGUGAUAGUAAGUUACUUGGAUUUUAUUCUGCACUCUGUGGACUGCCAUGGAGCAUUUGUCACUCUUAAAAGUACUAGAGCAGAUCUCAUUUAGGGGGUAGAGACACAUGGAAAAAAACUUGCUUCCUCCUCCUGGCAGCAAUGAUAUGUGUUCUGCACAUGAAGGCUGAUCUAGCUGACUAUUUUCAGAAAUGCCAUAAGCUUAUCCAGGUGUGACAAGCUUCCAAACCUUCUAGAAAAAAACUGAAUGGAUGGAGAUUCUGUUAAUCUUCAGGAAAGACUGGAAAUUAAAAUGACAAUUUAGAUUUUUUUUCUUUCGUCAAACUCAAACUUUAAUGGAGAAAUCACUAUCAUACAGAUACAGCGACUCCUGUGGAUUCAUCUGGAUGAGAUUUCCAAUGUUGGAAAACAGAAAGCCUUGAAAGGGAGCAGGGGGAGGAGGAGUGAUUCUGCUCUGAGAAAGAAAGAACAAGGUCUUUAAUGAAUAUUCACUUCUCAGGGACAUGAUAUGAUUCAGUCAACGUGGCUAGAUGACAGAACCCAUCUAGAUCCUCAGGGAUAAUUACGACAGAAGGACUAGCUAAGAACCAGUCACAACAGGCAAUUCUACGCUGAAGAAGAACUGCUACCUUCUAAUACCUCUUCCUACCAAACCUUGGAAACCAGGCGCCAGGCGUUCAACACAGAGGUUCCUUCAUCAUGAAAUUUAUGUUGCAGCAGAUUAGACAGAAGAUUGGACAUCCUCUGAGGUGUUAAUGAUCUCCUCUAGCAGAUUUCCCAUGGAAGGAACUCCCAAGUGUUUGAGUGUUUUUGUCCAAAUGUGGUCCAUAUCAGUUCUGCCUCCUCAAAGUCUUCUUAGCCCAAACUGAGCUUGUAGUCAACUCAGACCAUACCAACCAGCUGCUUCCCUCCCCCCGACCCCACCCCAGUUUUGCAUAGGUUUUGCAUAGGGAAAAACAGGAUGAAAUCCAUGUAAUAAGAGAAAUGUCUUCUACAAAUAUACAUGAGGAACAAAAGGAACUUCUGUAAGUCUAUUACUUGAUGUUGAUGGUUUAAAGUGCUAGUAAUGAGACGUUAUGAGACAGAUGCAUUCAAUAAGUAUUUCUGUUCUGGUGGAUCAAAGCUGGAAGGAAGUAUGAAUACAUUAUGAAGCUGAUGAAAUGUUUUCUGGUCUUACAGUAAAAUGGGUGAAUGCAAGUCAACUCAGAUCUGUGUCAGCAAGGCUCUAUAAAAUGGCACCGAGUUUUCUUAAGGCAGCAACUCAGGAAGUUGUACUUUCUCUAGGCAGGUAAUGAAUGCUGAGCUUGUACCCAGAGGUCAGAGGUAUGACCCAAUUAAUAGUAAGCUGGUUGGCCUAGCUUACUACUGGUCUUGGGAUCAGCAUGUAGGAAAUGGCUGAUACUGAAGACAAAAGUAAAAUCUGUUCCAAUUAAUUUAACUUUAGUGGAAUUUGAGCUUGUCAAGUCAUCCUAGUACCUCUAGUUGAAAAAACACUUCAAGAUCAGAACUGUGAUGAGUUAGUCAUCUGACUGUAAAUUUUUUUAAUAUACCAUUUUUAGAAGACGCUACUUGAUUUCAACAAAGAUAUCUUAUGGGCAAUUAUCAGUGGGGAAGUCUUUCCAGAAGGGAAUCACUCAUUUCUCCUUUCCACCCAAUACAAUCUGUUUUUAAAUCACAAAUAACACAUGAACAACUGCAAAUGCACUUUUAAGAUAGUACGAAAUGUGAAAAAAUAAAGAUGACAGUGCUUUUGUUUGAAAGUGAUCAGACUCACUUCAUAACCUCGGUUCAACCAAAUGCAACCAAAACAGUUCGUCCUUAGAAACAAGAGAGCAUGAACUGUUUUUACAGGAUUGGGUACUGUAUCACAGAAAGCUUGAAAAGGUCUAUGGGGAUUGUCACAUGUAAUCAACUGUGCAUGAACUCCUACUAUAAUCUCAUUAUUAAAACAGUUACAGUGGUCACUGGAAGUACAGAGAUGGGGGCUGGGAUUGGGGAUGCAGUAUUCUGUCUGUGUAAGGAAGAAAUAGGGCCACUUUUGCAGUGGCUGCUGAAGUGGAUAGAGGAGCCAAGGGAGAAAUAGUUAAAGGAUCAGGACCUUCACAUAGGACACAUUUAUUCCAUGAUUAUUUCAUGAUGGAUUACCCCAGAAAAUAGCUUCCAAAAGUUUUUCCAUGAAACAGCAGAUCAUGCAGCUCCUCUGCUGGACCCUCCCUUAAGUCAUGUUUUCUGGAUUAUGUUCCAGAGGAAAUCAGUAGGGGUUGCAGCUUUCUGAGGUGAGUUUAGUGUUGGAUACCUGCCUAUGUGCUGUGACACGCUGCCUUGGCUAAUAAAUCGUGACCUCUGUGGUUAUAUCGGUCAAAUGCUUUCUCAGCCAGAGCAAUUCCCAGCAAAUCAGUGGGCUCCUUUCACAGUGCCCAUCUGACAAGCACGGGGUAGCGCACAGAUGGUUUAGAUAUAAAAAAGAAUGUUGCAUCAGUACUGUAUGUGUGAAAUGUUUCAAUUAUUCCUAAAAUAUUUUUAACGUGUUCCAGAUUUAUCAGGCAAAAUGUUUAGGAAGUAAUUGGAGUUUAUUCUGUUUUUAAUUUUGGUAUAGUAUAUUAUAAUAAACACAUGUUCAAAAUACAUUUUAGGUAUCACCAAAUAUUUAUAAAAUGUGUAUAGGUGGAAAUCCCAAGGUCACUACAGUAGCUUUAUUUUGCCAGUCUGUUUACAAGGAGAUGAGUCAUUAAAACCUAUGGCUGUUUCUAUCUGUACCGAGAAUCCUUCUCCUGCAGGCAGUGGAUAACCUACUGGUUUUACAUAUUCAUGUAAGAUUAAGCUUUCUCUGAUUGCAGAGGUUGAAUUUAACCCUCCCUCAUAUUAUUUGUAAUAAUAAAAACUUCUAGUGGUAUUUCCAAGUGGACAUAUAUGUCUCAUAUUUAACAUCUGAUCAUAUUACCGUCAUUUUCCACUAUAACUAAAAGAUGAAUUAAAUAAAUGAGUAUCCCAAGCAAUUCUGUUUAGGAAAUCAGAUGAAAGAUGGUGUCAUACUUCUUGAAACACACAGUGGGCUUUUGCAAUUAGAACUAAUUGGUAUGUUGUGUGCAUCACUACCUGCCUUAAGAAAUACUGACGAAGCUUCGGGGUGGGAUGGGUGUUCUAUGGGGCUGGGGGUGAGACUGGGGGGGGGGGGGAUCUGUGGGACUGGGAGGUGGAAUUGUUCUACUAGGGAACAUUGUUCCAUUUGUUUUAAAACGAAGAUUGACUGUUUGCUUUUGAUCUCCUUCUUGUCCUUGGAGAUUUCAGGUGUGGAAAAAGGCACACAUUUUCCUAGCCUGAAGAGUAAAAUAUUGCCCCCCACAAUUCUCAUUACCUUAAGUGAACUCAGUUUAUAUUUUUUGUUGUUGUUUUAUUUUUCUUUAUCCAAAGUUUAUUCAAAGUAUUCAUUAAGAAAAUCUCGAUGUAGAAACACCUUGCAUUAACCAAAGCAAAGUUGGUUUCAGUGCCCAAGACCAAGAUGCCUAAUCUCCUCCUUGCCCCAGCUGUUAGGGACAAGCAUGUUUUCCGUUUCAGCUCACAGAACAGUUGCAGUGUUGGGGGGAUGAGAAAACAGACAUGGGUUGAUCUGAGAGCAAAGAUUUGUGGUGGUAGAGCAAGACUGGCAAAGGAGGAGCCAGUGCCAUAUACAGAAGUAGCUGCAAACCCAAGAUUCCCUCAAAAUGUGAUGACAUACAUGUGUAGACAUGUACUGUUUCAGCAGGUAUUGUGGUGCCCCAAAGAAACAUUUUGAAAGAUGAAAGCAUUGGGGAUUUUUGUUUUCACUGUUUUUCCUCACUUUUUUUAAGUAAAAAUGUUAAAUUCAGCUCUGUUAAAAGAUUAAGCUCAAUCCCAAACAAAAUCUAGACAUCUAGGCUGUACUGACUCCUGCUGCUGUCUUAGGAAAUAUUGACUUUUCUGAAAGAAAAACUAUUUCCUCAAUUCUAAUUUUCAUUAAAAACAUACUGUAGUACAGAUGCUGUUUUGCAAUAUUCUUUUAAUCUCUGUGGAUUUAUUUUAUGUGUUUACUCCAACAGAAAAUUCUUAUUAGCAACGAUUCUUCAACUCUUUCUCUUACCUCAGUGGUGUGGCUGACCCCUCUGUAUGCCUCAUCUGAAGGCUCACCAUCCACUGACAGUAAUCUGAGGAGGUCCGGGGACAGCAAAUGAUGGCUGAACUUGAUGAUCACAGGGGUCUUUUCCAACACCAAUGAUUCUAUAAUUUGAAUGACUUUUGACAUUGUACGGCUGUUACACCUGUGAUCACAAAUACCUUAUGUCCACGAUAACAUUGGAAAUCUUGUUCAUUUUGCACCACUUCCAGAAAACAGCAAGAAGCUGUAUAAAAGUAUUUCAAAAGGAAGGAGCUGGUGAAGCAAGACAGCAAUUUGGUUUAUUUAUCAGUGUUAGUAAUUCCAUUCCAGCCCAUGAAGCCAGCAAGUAUGGUUCAUAUUGAGAAUAUCUAUGUGAAAAGUAAUGGCAAAUUAUGCAAAUAAAUUGGCUACAAUAAGACUUUUUCACUCUUUUUUUUUUUCAGUAGUUUAUCAUGCUGCAGUCUAAUCAAGAUAUGGUAAAGGGUGGUACAGACAUUAUUCAGGAACUUAAUGCCACAUAAACCUAAGCAAUUCAUUUUUCUAACAUUUUUAAUUGUCUGCAGAUAUACAGAUAGAGAC
rnacentral:lncRNA from 1 species